rnacentral:rRNA from 1 species
AACGAACGCUGGCGGCAGGCUUAACACAUGCAAGUCGAGCGCCCCGCAAGGGGAGCGGCAGACGGGGGAGUAACGCGUGGGAAUCUACCCAUCUCUACGGAAUAACGCAUGGAAACGUGUGCUAAUACCGUAUCCGUCCUUCGGGAGAAAGAUUUAUCGGAGAUGGAUGAGCCCGCGUUGGAUUAGCUAGUUGGUGGGGUAAAGGCCUACCAAGGCGACGAUCCAUAGCUGGUCUGAGAGGAUGAUCAGCCACACUGGGACUGAGACACGGCCCAGACUCCUACGGGAGGCAGCAGUGGGGAAUAUUGGACAAUGGGCGCAAGCCUGAUCCAGCCAUGCCGCGUGAGUGAUGAAGGCCCCAGGGUUGUAAAGCUCUUUCACCGGUGAAGAUAAUGACGGUAACCGGAGAAGAAGCCCCGGCUAACUUCGUGCCAGCAGCCGCGGUAACAC